rnacentral:rRNA from 11 species
CUGUGUAGAAAUAUCCUAUGAAAGACACCAAUUGCUUUAUGAUCCUGGAAGCUAAGCAGAGUGAGUCCUGGUUAGUAUGUGGAUGAGAGAUCACCAAUGAAUACCAAUGACUGUAGGCU